rnacentral:lncRNA from 1 species
UUUGUGAAUGCAAUAGCAGAUGCACUUAUGGAAGCCUUUUCAUUUCAGGAUAUUGCCUCAUGCGACCUUAGGACAUGAUGGUUCUCCCAAGGCUCUAGAUGUGACCAGAAGUUUUCUGUUUAACCAAACCUUGAAAAUGGUUCCCUUUCACAACAAUAUUUAAAGGGUCAUGUAAAAUUACAUGGCUUGCAAAAACUAUAAACAGGAUAUAAAUGUAUGGUCUUUAAGCCAGUACAAUCUAUUCUGUCUUGGACAGCUUGAAUUAAGGAACCCAUGGAAACAGAUGACAUGUGCUAAUAACAGCAUCUUUGGGAAGAUGAUUUUGCUUUUCAUGAAGAAAGAAUGUUUUGAACUGUUGUACUGGAAUUUCAGUGCCUGCAAUGUUGAAGGUGACACCAGCUCGGAUAUGUAUUGUUUGGGGGUCAUAAAUGACCUUUGGAGCAUUUAUAAAAGUGGUAAGAAAAAUGGAAGAAUCCUCUUAGUUUUAGUCUGGGGAUGCUUCCGAGGUCCAGGACUCUUCCAGCAUUCUUGAGCCCUGGCUAAUGAAGUGCUAAUGGAGUGUUAGUACUGGCUACUAGACCAGGGCGUCCAAGAGAUAGGACAGUAAACAUUCUUUGAAGUGGUGCCUAAC